rnacentral:rRNA from 1 species
UACGAAGGGUGCAAGCGUUACUCGGAAUUACUGGGCGUAAAGCGUGCGUAGGUGGUUUGUUAAGUCUGAUGUGAAAUCCUGGAGCUCAACUCCAGAACUGCCUUCGAUACUGGAAGACUCGAGUCCGGGAGAGGUGAGUGGAACUGCGAGUGUAGAGGUGAAAUUCGUAGAUAUUCGCAAGAACACCAGUGGCGAAGGCGGCUCACUGGCCCGGUACUGACGCUGAGGUGCGAAAGCGUGGGGAGCAAACAGG